rnacentral:lncRNA from 1 species
AUCUCAUCUCCCCAAUGAUCACUGCUGUUUGGCGGUUGCUACUUUUUCAGUGUUCUCUCUCUUUCCCCACCAUCCUCCCUCCCUCUCUUCUCCUUUCUCUCUCUUUCCCCAACAUCCUGCCUCCCUCUCUUCUCCUUUCUCCCUCUCUCCUCCUUUCUCUCUCUUUUCCUCUGUCUCCCAUCCCCUCUCUCUCUCUUUCCUCAACAUCCUCUCUCCCUCGCUCUCUCUUUCCCCACCAUCCUCUCUCCCUCGCUCUCUCUUUCCCCACCAUCCUCCCUCCCUCUCUCCUCCUUUCUCUCUUUCCCCAACAUCCUCCCCCUCUCUUUCCCCAACAUCCUCCCUCCCUCUCUUCUCCUUUCUCUCUUUCCCCAACACCCUCUCUCUCUCCUCCUUUCUCUCUCUUUCCCCAACAUCCUCUCUCCCUCUUUUCUCCUUUCUCUCUCUUUUGCUCUGUCUCCCAUCCCCUCUCUCUCUCUUUCCUCAACAUCCUCUCUCCCUCGCUCUCUCUUUCCCCACCAUCCUCCCUCCCUCUCUCUUCCUUUCUCUCUUUCCCCAACAUCCUCCCCCUCUCUUUCCCCAACAUCCUCCCUCCCUCUCUUCUCCUUUCUCUCUUUCCCCAACAUCCUCCCCCUCUCUUUCCCCAACAUCCUCCCUCCCUCUCUCUUCCUUUCUCUCUUUCCCCAACAUCCUCCCCCUCUCUUUCCCCAACAUCCUCUCUCCCUCUCUCCUCCUUUCUCUCUCUUUCCCCAACAUCCUUUCUCCCUCUCUCCUCCUUUCUCUCUCUUUCCCCAAGAUCCUCUCUCCCUCUCUCCUCCUUUCUCUCUCUUUCCCCAACAUCCUCCCUCCCUCUCUUCACCUUUCUCUCUUUCCCCAACAUCCUCUCUCUCUCUCUCUCUUUCUCUCUCUUCCCAACAUCUUCCCCCUCUUUCUCUCCCCAACAUCCUCCCUCCCUCCCUCCCUCUCUUCUCCUUUCUCUCUUCCCCAACAUCCUCUCUCCCUCUCUCCUCCUUUCUCUCUUUCCCCAACAUCCUCCCAUCCCCUCUCUUGCUCUUUCCCCAACAUCCUCUCUCCCUCGCUCUCUCUUUCCCCAACAUCCUCUCUCCCUCGCUCUCUCUCCCCAACAUCCUCUCUCCCUCUCUUCUCCUUUCUCUCUCUUUUCCUUUGUCUCCCAUCCCCCCUCUCUCUCUUUCCCCAACAUCCUCUCUCCCUCACUCUCUCUUUCCCCACUAUCCUCCCUCCCUCUCUUCUCCUUUCUCUUUCUCUCUCUCCCCAACAUCCUCUCUCCCUCUCUCUCUUUCCCCAACAUCCUCUCUCCCUCACUCUCUCUUUCCCCAACAUCCUCUCUCCCUCACUCUCUCUUUCCCCACCAUCCUCCCUCCCUCUCUUCUCCUUUCUCUUUCUCUCUUUCCCCACUAUCCUCCCUCCCUCUCUUCUCCUUUCUCUUUCUCACUUUCCCCAACAUCCUCUCUCCCCUGCUGCAUUGUGGGCACUCAUCUCCAUUGGAAGUCCUCCAGCUCUGGGCACUUAAAAUAUUUAUCUGUCUAGAGAGUGAAUGUUAAUGAAGGAGUCUGCUGCCGGGCAGCUGCCAUUAUCACAGGCCUAUAUAAUGAUUAUAAUGAUCUAUUGCUGGAACACAUCUCUGUUAGACUGGCUGGGGACACAGAGUGGGAGGGAGUGAUGGACACAUCUCUGUUAGACUGGCUGGGGACACAGAGUGGGAGGGAGUGAUGGACACAUCUCUGUUAGACUGGCUGGGGACACAGAGUGGGAGGGAGUGAUGGACACAUCUCUGUUAGACUGGCUGGGGACACAGAGUGGGAGGAAGAGGGAGUGAUGGACACAUCUCUGUUAGACUGGCUGGGGACACAGAGUGGGAGGGAGAGGGAGUGAUGGACACAUCUCUGUUAGACUGGCUGGGGACACAGAGUGGGAGGGAGAGGGAGUAGGAGAUGUAGAGAGGGAGGAUGGGAUAAGGACAGGAAGUGCCAGGGAGAGGGAGGAUGGGAUAAGGACAGGAAGUGCCAGGGAGAGGGAGGAUGGGAUAAGGACAGGAAGUGCCAGGGAGAGGGAGGAUGGGAUAAGGACAGGAAGUGCCAGGGAGAGGGAGGAUGGGAUAAGGACAGGAAGUGCCAGGGAGAGGGAGGAUGGGAUAAGGACAGGAAGUGCCAGGGAGAGGGAGGAUGGGAUAAGGACAGGAAGUGCCAGGGAGAGGGAGGAU